CGCACCUAAUUGCUUUUAUUAGGACCAACCAAAGGGUGGUGAGGGGGAUACUCACAACUCUUUUGUCAAUAUCCUUUGGAAACCAAACUCUAAAAAGUUCUAGAUUCCACAUCCCAUCCUCAGUUACUAUGUCACAAAGUAAACAAUCCGCCAGAAGAUUGAUUUGAGAAGGCACAAGAUUUGAUGAACACCAACAAUAGACAAAAUUCCCUGUCCAAAUAGACCAAUAUAAAUUCUCUCUCGAUAUGGGUCGUACCUUUGCAAGUCCUCUCCACAAGGCUGAACACAUACCUCGAGCAAUACUUUCGG
rnacentral:lncRNA from 1 species